CCUACGGGCGGCAGCAGUGGGGAAUAUUGGACAAUGGGCGAAAGCCUGAUCCAGCCAUGCCGCGUGUGUGAAGAAGGCCUUCGGGUUGUAAAGCACUUUCAGUGGGGAAGAAAGCCUUGGGGCUAAUACCCUCGAGGAAGGACAUCACCCACAGAAGAAGCACCGGCUAACUCCGUGCCAGCAGCCGCGGUAAUACGGAGGGUGUGAGCGUUAAUCGGAAUUACUGGGCGUAAAGCGCGCGUAGGCGGUCUGAUAAGCCGGUUGUGAAAGCCCCGGGCUCAACCUGGGAACGGCAUCCGGAACUGUCAGGCUAGAGUGCAGGAGAGGAAGGUAGAAUUCCCGGUGUAGCGGUGAAAUGCGUAGAGAUCGGGAGGAAUACCAGUGGCGAAGGCGGCCUUCUGGACUGACACUGACGCUGAGGUGCGAAAGCGUGGGUAGCAAACAGGAUUAGAUACCCGAGUAGUC
rnacentral:rRNA from 1 species